UCUUUACAUAAAAGCCCACAACACCUUGCUUAGCCACACCCUCAAGGGAACUCAGCAGUGAUAAAUCUUUGGCCAUGAGCGAAAGCUCGACUUAGUUAAAGCUUAUUUAAGGCCGGUAAAACUCGUGCCAGCCACCGCGGUUAUACGAGAGGCCUAAGCUGACAGCCACCGGCGUAAAGAGUGGUUAAUAACCCCCCCCCCCACUAAAGCCGAACACCUACAAAGUUGUUAAACGCAUACGAAGAUAUGAAGACCCCCCACGAAAGUGGCUUUAUACCCCUGAAUCCACGAAAGCUAGGAAACAAACUGGGAUUAGAUACCCCACUAUGCCUACCCUUAAACUUAGAUAGACUUUUACUUUUACCUAUCCGCCUGGGUACUACAAGCACGAGCUUAAAACCCAAAGGACUUGGCGGCGCUUCACACCCACCUAGAGGAGCCUGUUCUAGAACCGAUAACCCCCGUUCAACCUCACCUUUUCUUGUUCCCCCC
rnacentral:rRNA from 1 species